AUCCUUUUGCAGUUCAUAAACCAACUGGGUGUUCACAUAUAUGCCUGAAACAUGUCUCCCUCAAAUCUUGUCACAAUAUCAGUACAUUACCCGUCUGAUG